GAAGCAGUAGCUCAGUUGGUUAGAGCAAAGAAAAGUUUUAAAAUUACUAUCGGUCAAUUUAAACAUACUUCAAUUCAAUUUGGUGAUCUGUUUGAGAAUUACCGUGGUCAAUUAUCACUUACAUCCAGCUUGUGUCGUUGGUUCGAGUCCAACCUGCUUCG
rnacentral:tRNA from 1 species